rnacentral:rRNA from 1 species
UACGGAGGGUGCGAGCGUUGUCCGGAAUCACUGGGCGUAAAGGGCGCGUAGGCGGCCCUGGCAGUCGGUGGUGAAAGCCCGUGGCUCAACCUCAGAACUGCCUUUGAUACUGAGAGUCUCGAGACCGGAAGAGGUAAGUGGAACUGCGAGUGUAGAGGUGAAAUUCGUAGAUAUUCGGAAGAACACCAGUGGCGAAGGCGACACACUGGCCCGUUACUGACGCUGAGGCGCGAAAGCGUGGGGAGCAAACAGG